rnacentral:RNase_P_RNA from 1 species
AGGGCAGGAUGCCAGAUAACGUCUGGUGGAGGCAACUCCCAGGAUAGUGCAACAGAGAGACACCGCGUAGGAAUGCUUGCAUUCCCUGUGCAUGCCACAAGCAUGCGGCGUAAGGGUGGAAAGGCAGUGUAAGAGACUACCGUGCUGGUGGUAACAUCAGUAGCCAUGUAAACCCCAUCCGAAGCAAGACCGAAAAGAGGACCAUGAGUCUGCCCGGCUCGUUCUCAGGUGGGUCGCUUGAGGCUGUUGGUGACAGCAGUCCUAGAUAGAUGAUCAUUCACGACAUAACCCGGCUUAUAGUUCUGCUCAUUAA